AACGUAGGACGCAAACGUUAUCCGGAAUUACUGGGCGUAAAGGGCGCGCAGGCGGUUGGGUAAGAGAGGCAUGAAAGCUUCAGGCUAAACCUGGAGAGGCUGUCUGAGACUGCCCGACUGGAGUGCGAUAGAGGGAUGUGGAAUUCCGCGUGUAGUGGUGAAAUGCGUAGAGAUGCGGAGGAACACCAGUGGCGAAGGCGGCAUCCUGGAUCGCAACUGACGCUGAGGCGCGAAAGCAUGGGUAGCGAACGGG
rnacentral:rRNA from 1 species